AACGAACGCUGGCGGCAGGCUUAACACAUGCAAGUCUAACGGGUGUAACAAUACAUCAGUGGCGCACGGGUGAGUAACGCGUGGGAACGUGCCCUUCAGUACGGAACAACCUCGGGAAACUGAGGCUAAUACCGUAUAAUGUCUUCGGACCGAAGAUUUAUCGCUGAAGGAUCGGCCCGCGUUGGAUUAGGCAGUUGGUGAGGUAACGGCUCACCAAGCCGACGAUCCAUAGCUGGUCUGAGAGGAUGAUCAGCCACACUGGGACUGAGACACGGCCCAGACUCCUACGGGAGGCAGCAGUGAGGAAUAUUGGACAAUGGAGGAAACUCUGAUCCAGCCAUGCCGCGUGAGUGAAGAAGGCCUUCGGGUUGUAAAGCUCUUUUACCCCUGACGAUAAUGACGGUAAGGGGAGAAAAAGCCACGGCUAACUUCGUGCCAGCCGCCGCCGUAACAC
rnacentral:rRNA from 1 species